rnacentral:rRNA from 1 species
UACAGGGGGUGCAAACGUUGCUCGGAAUCAUUGGGCGUAAAGCGCACGUAGGCGGUUCGUUAUGUCGGAUGUGAAAGCCCUUGGCUUAACCGAGGAAGUGCAUCCGAAACUGGCGAGCUAGAGUACUAAAGAGGAUCGCGGAAUUCCCGGUGUAGAGGUGAAAUUCGUAGAUAUCGGGAAGAACACCGGUGGCGAAGGCGGCGAUCUGGGUAGAUACUGACGCUGAGGUGCGAAAGCGUGGGGAGCAAACAGG